rnacentral:tRNA from 1 species
GCCGGAGUGGUGGAACAGGCAGACGCGCUGGACUCAAAAUCCAGUGGAGCUUAGCUCCAUGCGGGUUCAAUCCCCGCCUUCGGCA